CCCAGAGUUCUGACUGCGGAGACCGGAACAAACCAACUGCUCCCGGACCUGAGCCUCUACCCGGGGUUCAGAGCGGGGUGAGCCCGAGCUCCUCAGCUGCGGGCUGCGUCUGGUGGUGACGCUCGUUUUAGUCCCUGUGCCGCCGCCUACGGCUUUUUACCUCUCCCGUCGGCGCCUCUGCCCGCACCGAGCACUCAUCUCAGUCAGUUUGGGAAACCCACAGCUAACUUCAGCCCAAACGAGCCCCAAACCAGCGUCACUGCAGAGCUGCAUGGAAAGGGGGAGGGACCCGGUGCCGAGACCGAAGACCCUGAGAGGCAGCAGGAAGAAGGCGGCGUUAAAGGACAUCGGGGGUCACUCGUGCUCUGCAAGCCUGCCCUGUGCACUGCGUGGUGACAGAGCUGCUUUGCCACGUGGAGACCAAGCACCCGUGUUGAAACACAGGCUUUCUUUUCAGAAGAAAAACGAACCGCGAACACAAGGAACAGAAGCAGUUCCUGGAGGCGACCCCGUCCUCAAACGCGCCGGCUCCGGGAGCGCCCUGCUCGGUGGCCACCGCGCUGCGAAGCUGAGGAGCCUGGGGUCGGGGAGUCGGUCCUGCCUGCCGAGGACGCGCCCCACGCACCCUCAGGACAGGAGAGAGGCCUGUGCCGGCCACCACCCCUGGGAAGCCACUCCGGAAGAGGAACAGCUGGAACCUCCUGAAGUGUACAUACAUGGUGCUCACCUUCCUGUUUGUGUCCUACAACAAAGGGGACUGGCAUCAGGAAUCACGCGCCACUCCACUUCAUCCUGGCAACAAUCCUAUGGGGGUUCUGUGAUGCUGCUUCAGCACAGGUGAAGCUACAUUGGCCCAGGGGGAUCAGAGCCAAGAUCCAGCCCAGGUAUGCCUUGUCCUGAAGUCCCUACUCUUCCUUAUAAAGAUUUGGGGGUACCACUGAGAAAAUGAAUAUGGCUCUGAAGGCUUUUACUUAAGCAUAUUUUAUGAGCGAGUAUGUGGUCUAUUUUGGACAACAUUCCACGUGCACCUAAGAAGAAUGUAUUCUGAUGUUGUGGGGUAGAACUCUCUGUAGAUAUUUACUAAGUCCAUUUGUUCAAAAGUUUGGUUCAGCUCUGAUAUUUUUUGUCUAGUU
rnacentral:lncRNA from 1 species